rnacentral:misc_RNA from 1 species
GACCACCGUGGAGUUUUAGUCGGUAAGAGUCCGACACUUCCCAUGCUGCUCGCAGCUGGGAGUCCAUGAGGAUUUCUCCACGAAAAAAAAAAAAAAAAAAAGGUUGGGGUUAGGUUGGGGUUAGGUUGGGGUUAGGUUGUCAACGUCCGUUGGCUGGGGUGAAACACUCGUUCCCGUUAGAUCACGAAAGUUAAGCACCCCAGGUUGCGGGGCGGUCUGGGAUGGGUGACCGCUCCGUGAUGACGUUGGCGCUUUGGAUUGC